rnacentral:rRNA from 1 species
AUGCCAGGCACCGGAGGGGCGACCGUCCUGGACGACCUUCCCGAGUGGAUCGUUGUCGAAGAGAUCCUCGUCCGCUUGCCGCCCAAGGACAUCCUCCGCUGCCGCGCUGUCCGCAAGUGGUGGCACAACGCCACCUCCACGGACAAGUUCAUGCUGGAUCACCAGUUCACCACCGCUGCCAGCCCUUGCUCCAGAUUCUCAGCUGCACCAUUGACCCGCAGAAAGCCUGCCUCUUGUUUUCCUUUGAGGCCUGCGCAGGCCAGCAAAAGCUCUGCCCUCUCGUCCGGACCUACGACUAUGGUAAACUCGAGGCUGCCCAUGAUGGCCUCCUCAUCGUCUCCCAUGCGUAUGAGUUCUUCAUCUGCAACCCAGUCACUCGCAAGUGUGCUCCUCUAG